rnacentral:tRNA from 1 species
AUCUGUGUGAUGCAAUGGAUAAAAUACUGGGUUUAGAACCCAGAAGACUCAAGUUUAAAUCCUGUCUCAGACA